CUGCCCCUGACUCUGGGAUAAGCGCUGGAAACGGCGUCUAAUACUGGAUACGAACCACGAAGGCAUCUUCAGUGGUUGGAAAGAUUUUUUGGUUGGGGAUGGGCUCGCGGCCUAUCAGCUUGUUGGUGAGGUAAUGGCUCACCAAGGCGUCGACGGGUAGCCGGCCUGAGAGGGUGACCGGCCACACUGGGACUGAGACACGGCCCAGACUCCUACGGGAGGCAGCAGUGGGGAAUAUUGCACAAUGGGCGGAAGCCUGAUGCAGCAACGCCGCGUGAGGGAUGACGGCCUUCGGGUUGUAAACCUCUUUUAGCAGGGAAGAAGCGAAAGUGACGGUACCUGCAGAAAAAGCGCCGGCUAACUACGUGCCAGCAGCCGCGGUAAUACGUAGGGCGCAAGCGUUAUCCGGAAUUAUUGGGCGUAAAGAGCUCGUAGGCGGUUUGUCGCGUCUGCUGUGAAAUCCCGAGGCUCAACCUCGGGCCUGCAGUGGGUACGGGCAGACUAGAGUGCGGUAGGGGAGAUUGGAAUUCCUGGUGUAGCGGUGGAAUGCGCAGAUAUCAGGAGGAACACCGAUGGCGAAGGCAGAUCUCUGGGCCGUAACUGACGCUGAGGAGCGAAAGGGUGGGGAGCAAACAGGCUUAGAUACCCUGGGUAGUCCACCCCGUAAACGUUGGGAACUAGUUGUGGGGUCCAUUCCACGGAUUCCGUGACGCAGCUAACGCAWUAAAGUUCCCCGCCUGGGGAGUACGGGCSGCAGGGCUAAAAACUCAAAGGAAUUGACGGGGGRACCCGCACAAGCCGGCGGAGC
rnacentral:rRNA from 1 species